UCCAUGUUGGACACAUCCAGUACAGAUAGGCCUGUUACAGAAGUGAGCGACCGAGUUUAACUAAUGGCCAUACUGAAGCGGAAGGAAUAGCGGAGCUCACCAGGAAUAUCAUAACCUUGGAGACGUGGUCCAUCUCAGGAGCUCUGCUACCCCUGAUCUUCAUAUCCUUCACCUGGAGUACUGCAGAUAGGCCUGUUACAGAAGUGAGCGACCGAGUUUAACUACAUAAAGGUCAUACUGAAGAGGAAGGAAUAGAGGAGCUCACUAGGAAUAUCAUAACCAUGGAGAAGUGGUCCAUCUCAGCAGCUCUGCUACUCCUGAUCUUCAUAUCCUUCACCUGGAGUACUGCAGGACAACACCAAAAUGGUUCGGCUACUGUGACAGGUCUAACUGGUGGUGAAGUGACUGCCAUUGUGUUUGGGUCUUUUUUUCUCUCAACUUUAACAAUUGUGAUUGUAGUCGGCGUAUACAAGCGUCAUUUUAAAUAAAAUCAUCUUACAUAUGUCAAAGGGGCACAGCCAGAGGGGUGACUCCGGGUGGCACAGACAACCCUUGACCUUUCUUGGUGCACUUGCAGCGCGCUAGUUUGAAAUGUUAGACUUCAGAAAUGUAAUAACUUAGCAAAUACCCUGGCAAUUAUAGGCUACAUGGCUUAUUGUUUCUAGCAUGUCAGUUCACAGUAGGCCUACAGGCUACAGCUUGUGCUAACACACAAACAUAUCUAUUUACCAACCUAUCGCAUCUGCCAGUGCCUGUCUAUCUAAUCACACACACAACCCAGUAUUGUGUCUGUGGAAUCACGUCAUGUAUUAUUAUUGGCCUAAUAUUAUUUGCAGACAUAUGAAAUUACAUAAUAUUAUUGACAUAUAGUCAUUGUGGGAUAUAUUGACAUUGUGUGAAGUUCACAUAGGACAAUGUUUCUUAACUGGUGGGUCGCGGAACUGAUCUGAUCAGGGUGGGUCGAGGAGCUUGUGGUUAAAACUUAACUAAAAAUCGCCAAUUUAAAAUACUAUCUUAUCAGAUCUAAUGGACCUUUAUUUUGAGAAACGUUAUUUGUAGGCUAUGGCAUUAUUAGAUUAGAUUAGAAUAUGGGUUUACUUGAAUUGAGGACAAAAUAAGACAGAAAGCCCAGUGUGUGGUGUGGCACAUGAGAGCAUAAAACCAUCAAAACUAAAAUGCAACAUGGAAACAAGGCAUUCCUGUUUGAAAGGUAAUAUCAACAGUUGUCACAAAUGUAAUGCCAAACUUCUGCAUGUUCCAAACAAGUAGGUCAGGCACCAUUUAGGCUAUAGCUCACCAUAUCCGUUGGCUUGAAUGCUACAAAGAAUAUAUGGGUCGCGACUCUAUGAAUAUGGAAAAUUGUGGGUUCCAAAGCCAGACCAGUUAAGAACCACUGACAAAUGAAACAUUCCGCAUGUUCCACUUCUGCUUAAACAGCCUAAUUCCUAAACAGUGUUUGUUCAGAGCUGAAAAUGCAACUGUAUUUGACAAUGGACAGAUGUAGGUUAUUGAUAGUGACAAAAUAUUAGCUUUCAGUGUGGUACUAUCUUGUAAAUUAUGUGUAAUUAAAAAGUAGUUGU